rnacentral:rRNA from 1 species
AUUGAACGCUGGCGGAAUGCUUUACACAUGCAAGUCGAACGGCAGCACGGACUUCGGUCUGGUGGCGAGUGGCGAACGGGUGAGUAAUGUAUCGGAACGUGCCCAGUCGUGGGGGAUAACGUAGUGAAAAUUACGCUAAUACCGCAUACGAUCUAUGGAUGAAAGCGGGGGAUCGCAAGACCUCGCGCGAUUGGAGCGGCCGAUAUCAGAUUAGGUAGUUGGUGGGGUAAAGGCCCACCAAGCCAACGAUCUGUAGCUGGUCUGAGCGGACGACCAGCCACACUGGAACUGAGACACGGUCCAGACUCCUACGGGAGGCAGCAGUGGGUAAUUUUGGACAAUGGGCGAAAGCCUGAUCCAGCCAUUCCGCGUGCAGGAUGAAGGCCCUCGGGUUGUAAACUGCUUUUGUACAGAACGAAAAGGUUUCUACUAAUACUAGGAGCUCAUGACGGUACUGUAAGAAUAAGCGCCGGCUAACUACGUGCCAGCAGCCGCAGUAA